ensembl:lncRNA
CGGAGCUGGGGACCGAACCCAGGGCCUUGCGCUCCCUAGGUAAGCGCUCUACCGCUGAGCUAAAUCCCCAGCCCCUUUCCCAUUCUUUUAAAUUCUCUCAUUUGUUCUUUCAUUGAUCACUUUACCUUACAGACAGAUGAAAGUCAACUUUAAGAUUUUAUGAGGUAAUUUGAUCUAUAUGAUUUUACUUUAUUUUAUAAUCCCAUUCAACUUGUCUUACACCCACUCUUCCUGCUGUAUAUUGAAAAUUGUGAGCCUUUGAGGCCAAGAGUUAAUGAUUCAUUCUAGAGCAAGGUGCAAAAUGCUCUUGGUUUUGUUGGUGGUAGAUAUGGUUGACUGGUUAGCUAGUUGGCUGGUAAAUUGGUAAUUUUGUGGAGUUUUGUUCCUCUGUUUAAAAACUCUCAACCUCACACUUUACUUUAUAGGAGUAUACAGUUUCUCUUUAUACACCAAAACUAUUUUCUGUGUGAUAUGUAAAACAGAGUUAAAACUCAACCAAGGACUCAAAGCCUAUUCAUUACAAAACAAAACGCUUUCAGCCUAAUCAUUAGGGUUCUCUGAAAGACACCUGACCAAAUGAUCAAAGCAGCUAAGCCUUGGUUCUCGGGCAUUCCCAAGUGUUCCUACAGAGGCUUGUAUAGUCUUUUCCUUUCAAUACCUCAAUACUAGACUCAUGUUUAAUAUAGAAAACUUGUGUCUCAGGCCUGCAGGCUGUGGUAGGAAAAUCUCCAUGAAACUGAUAAACAGGAAGCAGGUAGGGUCAGGGCUGCGCACAGUGACGUUCCCAGGAGCUUCCACACCAAAUAUUUUUUGAGAACAAAGGUAUCUCCUGGACGUUGAACUUUCUUAAAUUUCAAUGAGGGGACGUGGCUUAUUCUCUAAUAGAUGUCGUAGGGUAUAUACGUGGAGAGUCAAGUUUGCUGCAAACUCCUGGUUCAAAUAUUACCUGGAACUUCAUAAAACCUUAUCAGUAUUCUUCACAUAGAAAAAGUAUUACCCGCAAUAGGAAUAAAUUAAGAACAUAUUCUAACCGAAGCUAAAGCAUAGUUAAGCAUUUUAAUAAUGCUAAAUUUGAGACGUUGUACUGAUGAGAUAUUUUCCAUACAAAUAAAGAACUGAGUAUAUAAAACCCCAGGACUUGCGCUGAGUUAGAAUUACAAUGCAGCUGUCAUUUUUGCAUUUCCUGCUUUUCAUGAAACAUUACUAGUGAUCCUCUGUCAUUUAAAUCAGUUGAGACUGUGGAUUUAUCUUAAUUUUCACCCUUUGUUUCCCCUUUUUGUGAUAGCAGUUAUGAGAUAUGAUGAUGUACAGUGUUUCUGCUUAUAAAAGGUUCAGCCCUGUCCCUUGGCAGACUAAAUCUUCUGGCUAAUUCACUGAUCAGUUAAAUAGUCGAAGUUAUUAUUAUUAUAAUUAUUAUUUUACAUUUAUAUAGCACUUUUCUCCAAGGGUUUCAAGGCAUUUUACACACAGUAAAUUACCAAAUAGAAAUUAAUCCUUAUCCUGUGGAGUAGGUACACUCACAUUAAUGAAAUUCUACAAAAGUCCCCUUGUGUCACAGCUCUACCCCAGUCCCCAGUGACCCUGCCCCUCCUUUAUAAAACUAAAAUAGAAUGCCCAUGGCAUUGCAGGGAAAGGCUAAAAGGGAGAUCUUUGGGAAAACAGUCCUAUGUCCUGACCUUGGCAUUCUGAGCUUUCUAGAGAAUAAACUAUUGGGAGCAACCAAACAUAUAAGAUAAGGGUUGCCCACCUGGGUAGUUUCAUUUAAUUCUUCAAAGGACAAGCUAGGAUGUGAUCUUAAAGCAUUUGAUUGUAUGCAAACCACAUUAAGAGAGCAUUUAAAAUGAGAUCCUGAGACUUUCUCAAUCACGGACAUCCUCAGUUAAUUGCCCCAGAAAGAUCCAAGAACGGUCAAUUUGAGGCCAGUGGUAAUUAGAGAAGCGCGUAGUGACUCAGGAAGAAAUGUUACUACCUAAUGUAUAUAUCAGAAAGUGAUGGCUCAAGUACGUAACAUGUCACAAUAUUUGUCAGAGCCAAGACUAGAUGUCCACUUGGCAAAUUGCCAAUCUGUACUUUUAGCACUUCCAGGAAAGGGUAGGUUAGAAAACAAAUGGAACAGGUCUUAAAGGUAAAGGAAUGAAGAGAGCUGGGCAUGCAAAGCAUAGCUCCUGUCCAGCAAUGCCUAUGGUCCUAGGAUCAAGUCCCAGGACCACAAUAACAUAAGACGAAACAAAAUAAUAAAGGAGAAAAUAGCAUACGAGGAGUUACAGGGUAUGGACUGGCAUAGGCUGGCUUCUGGCCAACCUCGAAUUCAUUGGAUGCCUAGGCUGGAGCACCAUCACCUGCCCUCAGAGCUGCCCUGCGCUUUGCCAUUGCGCUUCCUUGUUCCAGAGCUGUCUCCAACUGAUGACUAGAACCCAGUAAGGACCUAAGUCACCCAAUGUUGAAUCAUCUACCCUGUCCAGGAAGUAUGUCUUCUGCUUAAUAGGUGUCAACCAGGAGGAAAUUUUAAUAAAACUCUUGUUAAUGAGAUGGGAUAGGCUUUACUUGUUUGGUAGGCAGUCUUACUGGGGGUGUGGGGGGAUAUAACGAAUUCAGCUCUUUUAGUGUUCCAUUAGGGCAAUUUCUUUUUUAUUAUUUUUUCCUUCAAAAACUGGAGCAAGAAAUUGUAAGAAGUACACACAGACAUAGUGGAUCCAAAGUUUCAGAAGUAUGUGCUUUCCAUAGUGGAGUUUAGAGGUGCUUGUGGAAUUUAGUUACGGUUUUGAGAAACCAGAAACACCGAGAGUUUGGAGUUGCUGCUAGGAUUCCCAUGGUCUGUAUAAACUUGCCUAACUUUGCAUUGAGUACUAAAGUCAAUCGGAUUGAUAGAAUUUGUUUUCUUUUUUCUCAAAAGCAUGUAUCACUUAGCUACGGAUAAUAAUUAUUGCUGUCCUAGUGAAUUGUUUUUUAGUCUCACUAACCUGCCAUCCAUUCCUGGAAGUUGGUUUCUGCAUUUAGGAUUCCCAUCUUUGCUCAUGUAUACAGAUGUGUUCAUGUUGUGUACACCGGUGUGCCAGUGUGAAUAACGCAUAUGGAGAACAGACGUCCCUAUCUAGUGUCACACUCAAUUGCAUACUCCCUUACUUAUGUCCUGAGGCAGGUCUCUUACAGAGUGGGGAGCUUACAGAUUGAGCUAAGGUUGGCUGGUCAGCUUCCGAGGCGCUCCUGCCCCCACCUCCCUAGCACCUCCUAUAGCCUAGGGUUAUAGGCCCAGUUUUUUGUUUGUUCAUUUUUAAAUCAUUUAUUUAAAAUGCUUGAGAUAUGAACUUAAGUUCUCAUGCUUGCACUGUGUAGUAGUUUACCUGUGAUAAUAUAUUCCUAGAACCCUUCUCAUUGUCUACUUUAGAAGUACCGUGGUCAUCCUCAGUCACUGCAAGAACGACUUUUAUUUAGACUUUAAUAACCCAGGCAGUACAGCAAAGUAGCAUUUCCUUAUUGGCAGAAGUGGGUGACAGUACCAACUGAGAAUGUAUUUAGAGACGGUAAACAGCAUGCUCCCUAGGACAGUGCAGUGUGUUCCUUGGCUUUUCAGGCUUGCUCUCUUUAGUAUCAUUUUAUUGUCCAGGGUGGAUCAAGAUUUCUCUGUAAGUAUAUAGACUACCGCUUUAAGAAAACAGCAUAAAAAUUCUGAUUACAAAAUUAAGCACAGAGCUUUGGAAUAAGCCAGGCAAGUUAAGGGCCCUGGAGUUUAAUCCCUUAAAUUCACAGUCAAUCUACCUCUGAAUAUCCUCAUUUUGGGCUUUACAAAGGUACUCUUAGUAAAUAUUACUGUUUCAUAUAAUAACAAGAUUAGUUAAGGAUAAUGUCCUACUUUAUGUGUAUAGUCUUUAGGCUAAACAAAACAUUGUAAAAAUAAUGUGAACCUACUUACCAACAAUUUAGCUGAUUCCAUGUGGUAUUCAUCUUUGUUUGUUCAGGCUAACUCCAACAUAAUAAUGGUCAGUAAAGACCAUCAGAGCAGACCUCUCUUUAUGGAGCCUGGUAUUUCCAGCAGUACUUGAGACAAUAAAAUACAGGUCAGCAAGAAAUGUCACCAGUUCCUUUAAGUCCUUGGUAAUGGGAUUACAACUGUAUCGGAGAGCUAAUAAGGAGACUAGCGUGGAUGCUUGCUGUUGGAGCAUUGCCUUUCUCAGAGCUGUGGAGGACGCGAGAGACACAGCUGUUUCCCAGUCUUUGCCUCCACCACCCAUUUCUGUACUCAAUUAUUUCACCUCUCCUACUCUAGAACAAGUUGUAAGUAUUUAUCUUUCAAAGUGCCAUGGUAUUGCUCCUUCUUUUUAAUUGUUUUUCCCCUUAACCCUCUCCCUCUGACUUACUCCAAAGAUAAUAGUUGGUGGCGGUCUCCUGGUAGAAGAAGACACUUAACAUUUACAAUUGAACUGUCAAGAGAUCUAAAACGAUUUCCUGUUGCUGUGAUUUAAAAAAAAAUGUGUCAGCCCACCUUAAGAGAGAGACCAGAGGGGUUGGGGAUUUAGCUCAGCGGUAGAGUGCUUGCCUAGUGAGCACAAGGCCCUAGGUUCGGUCCCCAGCUCCAGAAAAAAAAGAGAGAGAGAGAGAGACCAGAGCUUUAGGCUGUAGUUCAUCACUGUGGGGAAAUAAAGGCAUUCUGAACCUAAAGCAGCUACACACAUACAGAGUUAAAAGCAAAAAGAAGAUGGAUGUAUUCAAGUUCCUGCUGUGCUGGUUCUUUUCACUUUCAUACAGCUCAGGAUCCCCUACCUAAGGAAUGGUGCCACCCACAGUUAGCAGGUCUUCCCUCCAAAUUAAACUCAAACUAAUCCAGGUAAUUCCUGCAGACAGCCCAAAAGCCAAAUGAGGACAGUCUAUCCUGCCACUCUUCCCAAGUGAUUCUAAAUUGCAUGUGCAUGUUCCCUUACCCAAUCCUCUGAUGUUAGAACAUUCCGUUAAAAGAUCUGGAGAGUGUGUAUUGGAGCACCAUAUAAGAAGUUUAAAUGGAAAUCAAAAUGUAAAUAAUAUUGGCUUCUCAAAAUCACUGCAUUUUCAUCAUUUUUAUAGGCUAAGCCAGUUGUUUCGUUUCUGUUUUCUCAUUUAUUGGUCUCUGUAGUGCCCACCUAGGAAGUAAUGUCUCACAGUUCUGAGUAAAAAGAAAUAGUCAAUCUUCAGGUCAUCAAUACAGUUUAUUGCUUGAUACAACUAACCAACAUGAAAUCCAAAAGCAGAAAAGAGAAAAUCUGUAAGACAGCCAGCACUGUAGCCAUGAGCAAACAAUCACACUGUAGCCAUGAGCAAAUCCUCUCUGAACAUUGAUUUCAGGCAGCCUUUUUUAUCAGAAAACAGGUGCUCCUUUAACAAGAAAACUCUGAAAAAAAUGAAAAUGUCGUACUUUUAUUUUAGCAUAAUAAUUGUAAUAAGUGGUAUUUCAAGUUUUCUUUGUAUCUGCUCUUCCUCACAUAAGUUAUCAGCAUUCUUCAGUAGGAGAAUAGUGUUGGGUUUUAUGUUUCCAGGGUAGACAUUGCUUACUUAAGAAAUUUUGACACCUGAUAGAUCUCAUGUUUGCUGUCUUGGCUGAAGAUGACUAUUGUAAAAAGUGGCCAGAGACUUGUAGCUUCAGAAGUUUCCUUCAUCCUCAGAGUAGUGGAAUUUGAGCAAGUGUUUGUGAUGCAUGGAGAAAAUGCUGUGCAUAGGAGAAAAAAAAACUGUCCUAAAAAACAGAAUUGUAACUUUCCAUAAUUCACAUGGGCUAACAUUUUAGAAAUGCACUCAUUGCUUUUUAUAAAGUACUCUAAAAUAUCUCCAUGACAGAUAAUGUUGCAUAGUCUAUGAGUUCAGAUUUUACAUUCUCCCUUGAAGAAUUCAAAAGAGGAUAUUAGCAUGGGCGGCUCAGUACUAUAAAACUGUUUGUUUGUGUCAUUUGGCACAAAUAGUUACCAAAAGCUAUGUGAAAAAGAAUUUUGACCAAGUUUCCUUAGCACUGUGUUCUGUAUUUGUCCACAUGUACAUGUGAAGACAUGAUGCCCAUUACACGGCUUUCAUGUCAGCUGGUCCCAGUGACGGUGGCAUUUAAAUGUUCGUGUGGUUUACAGUUUAAGGCCAGUGACUGGGGGAGAUUGGGUUCAUGCAACAUUUCUCCAUAGCACUACAGCUGAGAUUUUGGAUGAAGUACAUAGGAAUUGUACACAUCCUAAGACAUUGAGCAAGUUCUGACCUCUGCUCACCAGAUUCCAGUAACACUGUCAGUGACAGUCAUCAAAAUUAUCUCCAGACGUUGCCGGUUGUCAUCUGUAGGAAAGGGAAAUAGCAAAAUAAUUUCUGAGCUGAGAGCUCCUGAGUGUUAGCAUGUGCUACUGAGAUGAGCGGACUAUUUGUUGUAGGAACUCACAUUUUUUUAUUUGUUCAUUUAUAAUUGAGUAGAGGUAAAAUUUUAUAGGAACUGAUGAAAGUCAGUACUCCUCCACUGAGACAAAGAGGAGUCCUUCUGUAUAACUGUGAUAACUUAUAUUUUUAAGUGUCAAUUUCAUAGGUGUGCUUCCCAGACUCAUUUAAUGACUUUCACUAGAGAAAUGAGUCUAGAAUUCGUCACAGAUGUAUAUUUUAUACUUUUUAUUUAUUUAUCGGCCUUCUUACAAUAAUGAUCUUUCUGAAAAGCAGACCAAGCUGGCAUAAUGCUAUUGACUUAGCAACUAAAUUCCCGCUCAGCACUUCCCUGUCUCAAAUAAAGUAGCACCUCCCUAAAGAGAGAUCUAGGAAAUAGUGAAACAACAGGUAAAUCCAUCUUGGCUUUGAGGCAGGAAGGUGGCAAUUAGGCAAAUGGAGCUUCACUGCACUGAUUUCGGGGUUUGUGUCUACAAGGGAAAACUGGAGAUUACUUGCCAAGCAAAGAAAACGAAGCCUGCUUAACGUUUGCAUUAAGAUACUUAGACUCCAGAACUUAACAUUGGUCACGCUCACAGGAGUCAGAUGCUGUCUAUUCCUGCAGCAGGAAACCAGGCAGUACUUGUCGACUCAGUAGCUUGCUCAAAAUCACUCAACCUGUAAGGAGUGGCGGGGGCUUCUUAACCAGCCAUCUCUCUCCAACCCUUGAUCUCCUAAGUCCUUUAAGAGUGGAACUUGAAGGGAACUUUCAAGCACUAUGAAUCAGGUACUUAUCGAAAGACUACAUGAGCAAAAUAACCAACUGCUUAGAUUGAAGGGAGGAGCAUGCUCUCAGAGAAAGGCGCCCUCGUAGUCUUGGAACUACUGCAUAAACUUCAAAGGUGUGGCUUGCCCUUAAAUUGAUUCAUGUAAUAUCCCAGGUCUGUUUAAAGAUUCUAAGUUUUUUUGUUUGGUUGGGUUUUGGUUUGUUUGUUUUUUAACAAACAUCAUUGAACCAUAAUGAAUAAAUUUCAACUCUUUAUAACUGUCAGAUAAUACUGUCAUUCAUUAAUAAUUUUUCAAGAAAAAAAUAGCUAAUACUUGGUUUACCACUCUAACUGGCCAUGGGACCUGACCAGAUGGAGCCUAAGACUGAGGCAGACUAACGUCUCACGCAACAGCCCGUUCUCCUCAGAGCAUCAAUGUGAGCCUGAGCGUCAGGAAGCCACUGGUGGAACAUGAAAACUGUGUCCAUACCAGUUUAGCUUUUUCGUGGCUAGAAAAGUUUGAUUCAGCCCACACCUGUUCGUAAUUCCUUGCACUACAUGAUUCUUCCAUUUAUUCAGCAAAAUUUGUUGGGCUGCUCCCAUGCGAAGCAUGCUGUGUGAGCCUCACUGGACCGACCAGUCGUUUGUCCGGGGGGGUUGGAAAACACUUGUCCCAUUGCUCACUGCAGAGGAUAUUGGUCUGUCUCUUUACUCUCUACUGUCCACCCUUCCCUUGCUCUGAGCCUUUUUAAAAUAAGAUAUUACAAAAAAAAAUACUAUGGCCACCCAAGUUUUCUUGUUUUUAUUCUUCUCCAUCAUAUAUUUGAAGCAACUAUAAAAUGACUGGAAGAUGAUAAUUUAAUUUGACUUAAGAGUAAAUCUGGACUUAGGCCAGUACUGUGUGUGUAUAUGUGGGUAUACAUAUGUGUAUAAGGUCUGUAAGAUGUCUCCUUUAAUGAUCUACUUCCAGCACUGUUUUUAAGAAUUGUAUACAAACAUAUUUCUGUCUGUGCUAAGGCUUUCCAUAGGCUAUUUGUUAUACUGAUGGUACAGAGUCCUGACUGACUUAGACGGUUACUCAUUUCCUUCUUAGGGUUAAUGUAUUCAUGGAUUCUUAGAUCCUUCAUUACCAACAUUAAUCCUAUGUUCUAUCUAAAUCAUAGGGAGAGUUUUCUCAUUUUCCCUUUAAUUAUCGUUUUCAGGAGGGUCACUUUACCAGCACAUCUACAAACUAAAUAGUAGCUCAAAGUCUCAGAUUGUUCAGGCCUCGUGAACAGAGUAUGUAGCCUCAGGGAACUGCUGCGAUGCUCAGGUUGUCUAAAUCAAGUUCACAAGUCCCACGAACAGUCACUGUAAAGUUAGAAGGGACUCUAAAAUCACUAAAUUGCUGUUAAGUGUCAGGAUGAGCCACUUUAUUUUCUCAGAGAAAAAUGGCGUUUUCUUUUUAAGUAACUACCUGAUACUUAAGAUGGAGAAGCAGCUCAAAGCCACGCAGUACCCACGGAGUUUGUUGUGACUGGGCAGAGGCCUGUGGUAGUAGAGUACAAUUUAGGCAGCAUCCAUGAACAAAACUUGUCCAUAGUAUGACAGCAGCAUUGGCCUCUGCAGAACCUGAUACAUUGCUGCCCUUCCUGUUCCAGAUUUACAUUCUAAGCAGGUUCAGUUUCCUCACAAGUGAUGGCCCCAAGCUGCUGCACAUGGUUGUAGAAGUCAGGCAGGAUGGAUUGUGGAUGGAUUAAUGUUUGGUUUAUGUAAGUGCUGGGACGCUGAAGGAGUGGCUGUAUUACCCGGCAUCUUAACAAGCAGUCAGGUGCUUAGAGAUAAAAGGCCGAAACCUCAGGUAGAUAAGAAUACCUGCCCCAAAUGACAGACCUGAAAAGUAAGCUUCCUUUGGAGGAGAUUAGGCAAAAGCCAGCCAGGAGCAAAGGAGCAAACUUGUGAGCUAAAGUGUAUUGACAUGGCAUCUGGUUUAGUUUUGACAAACUUUUGCUAAAUGUGUGGGUGAUGGGGUUCGAAUCUGCCAAAUCGCAUGUUUUCGUGUUUAUAUGUAAACUGAGCAGAGAUCACAGGAAGGACCCUUUUCCUCCCUUACUGCUAGUCCUUCCUUCUUGCCUUCUCCUUCCUCCUUACCUUGUUUGCUCCCUCCCCACACUCCAAUCUAGAAAUGAGUUUCUAGGCAAGCAUUUUCACUAGCUUUCCUAAUGCUGGAGACAUAGCGUGUUCAAGUAAAUUGGAGACAAAGCAUAGCAGGGGCACUGAGCUCUUUUCUAGCGCCCUUCAUACAGUGUACAAUGUGAUCAUUCUCCUUAGCUCUAGGCCACAAACCAAGCAAGCAUUUCACACAGACCCAGGCUGGGUUUCUUGGGAAGUUCUCCCUGUUGCUUUUCAUAGUUUAGAUAAUCCACAUGAACAAUACUGAUUAAAUCAGUUGCCCGUGGGCAAUGGCAAAAGCAUAAAUGGCUUUCAGGAAAGAGAGACCUAAAACCUUGUGUUUGUGCGCUCUCUCUCUCUCUCUCUCUC